CGGGUGAGUAACACGUGGAUAACCUACCUAUAAGACUGGGAUAACUUCGGGAAACCGGAGCUAAUACCGGAUAAUAUAUUGAACCGCAUGGUUCAAUAGUGAAAGACGGUUUUGCUGUCACUUAUAGAUGGAUCCGCGCCGCAUUAGCUAGUUGGUAAGGUAACGGCUUACCAAGGCAGCGAUGCGUAGCCGACCUGAGAGGGUGAUCGGCCACACUGGAACUGAGACACGGUCCAGACUCCUACGGGAGGCAGCAGCG
rnacentral:rRNA from 1 species